GCGCGCGCCACCACACUCACAGGGACGGUCACCCCUCUAUACCCCCUCCCCCGCCCGUUCCCCUCAGUCCCGCUCCCACCCCCGCGUUCAUAGGGACACGAUCAAGACAGUCCCCCGAGGGGAGUGUUCCCGGCCGGAACGUAAACACACCCUAGCAGGCAUAAGCAGCGGCAAGGCAUCCGGGACCCUCGCCUCUCCCAGCCCAGGACUCAGGCGGGAUGGGGCCGCGAAGCGCGGAGCUCAGCCAGAGGCUACAAGCUCACACUCGCGAGCAGGAGGCAGCCUGCACUUGAUGGACAAAAUUCCCGUCCAAAGACCAAAGCACCUUUGAGGUAAGUGCUAGACAGGGAGGAAGGAGAAGUUACUUGCUCUUCAGAAGGAAAUCCUUGUCAUCCAGAGCCAUACAACUUUUCUUGAUGCUCGUUAGGGAUUUUCCAAAGUUAGAAAAUAUAGACAGCAUGCGUGUGCUGCAGUAUUUUCACCACCAACUCCAGUGGCUCUCACAUUUUGCUGCCCGUAACCAUCAUGUGGAGACUUCAAACCUCAAGGCCCAGGCCUCAAAACAAACCAACAAACAAACCAACAACAAAUGAUUGGUAUCUUUAGGGCAGUGCCUACGGAACAAAAAGUUUUAAAACCCAACAACUGUUUGCAAUUUGAGAAAAACUGCCAGUCGGUUUGCACACAGUGCUUUUCACAAUUUAAUAUACGUAAGAUCCACUUAGGGAUAUUGUUUAUAUGCGUAUCUUGAUGCAUUGGGGCUGAAUUGUGCCUAAGGUUUAGUGUUUUUAAUAAGACACAGGUCCUACCAAGCUCCUUUUUAUUCUCAGAUAAAUAAACUUUGAUGAAUGAAAAUGAUUUACAAAAUGAUCUCCAAUGCUUCAAAGUUAAAAUACUUGUACAGUGUAUCAUAUUUGUAAGAAUUUUAUUGAUAGUGAAAUAACUUUUAAAAGACACAGUUUCAGUGGUGGUUAAUAAUCAAAAUGUACCAGACAGUAGAGUAUUCCCCACCAUGGUUUCCACUGAAACACUUCAGCAGAGUCAAAAACUCUUGUCUCUGGAGAGGACACUGCUGAAAAGAUGCACACCAUAUAGAUGGGUCCUUUUCCCAGAUUGUAUCAAAAUUUAAUCAUUUGCAGACCACAUGCAGGUGAAUUUCAUAGUAUUCUCUUUACAUUACAGUUUAAAACCUACACACACAACUUGACUCAUUUUUAAUAAAAUUCAUUAAUUUAAAAAUAAUUUAUAUGCCAGUUUAAUAAGUUCCAUUUACAUACAUACAAUUUAAGUUUACGUGACUAAAUAUGCAGUGUCUGUGUGUGUGUCCCCCAAGCAUUAUCUGCAGUAUUCCGCCAUUUGCACACAUACCGCAGCUGAGGAAGCACUGAACAACCAGAAACAGCUGUUCGUAUAUCUUCCUCCUGUCAACUCGCUCACAGUCCCCUCCAGUCACUCGCUCCCAGUCCUUCUCAGAGAGGAGACCAGAGGUCUUCACAGAGGACCCUCGAGGGGACAGAGGGACAGUGUCUGCAAACAAGAAACUGAGGGCUCCUGCUUCUGAGGAGGAUGGAAUGAGAGCCGCCAUUGAAUCUGGAGCUCCAUUAACCAUUGUCUUAUCCAGUGAAGACCAUCCUGAGGGACGGCCAAGAACAUGGCUGGGUGGUGAAGGAGGAGGAGGCACGGUACAGGUAUAGACAGCAUUCAAGGGGAGGCCUUGUUGCCUGGAGCCCAGAGGUCAGUGGUCAGGACCUGGGCUGGUGUUUUCCUGGUCAUGUGGGGUGUUGCUUUUGGUCCAAGUCCAUUUGUAGUGGACAGAAACUGGAGAGUCUGGACAGCCUCCAGAUCAGGUCUCUGAGUGCUCUCCUGGGUGAUCUGGCACGGAAUGUGUCUUAGUUUAUUUGGGGGCUUAAGGCGCGUCUGGACGGGCAUCUGGUCAAAUCUCUUGCCGGAUGCCUCGAGGCUGAGCUUAGAGUCCUGGCCCCGUAUACAUGCAGCAGGAUGUGAGGUCAGUGUUGAGGGCAUAUUAUGACACUUGAUUUGUGUCUGUUGGGUUAGGACUGGCUCAGGCUAUGUGGUUUAGAGGCAGCCAGGGGAACGUCACGGGAGCAAACUUGAGGCCUGUUGUGUGUCAGCAUGACGAUGAGGGCAGGAUCCUGGCCAAAGUGCUUGGAUGCUGGCAGAAGGGCAUCAGUGACAGCCACUUCCUGUCUUAUUUUUUUGUCCCUGAAGUGAGGUGAAGCUCAGUUCAGGUUUUUUGAUGGGAGACCCUGUAGGGCGCAUGGGUCUCAUACCAGGUUUCUUUCCCGGCAGCUGACUUGUGAGAAUAGGGCCCAGGGUAGAUGUCUUCUUGGUUGCGUAGACAAGCACAGGCCUGUUUGGAUGCUGUGGGAGAAGACCCCACACGUACACACAAACGUGUAUGUAUCUAUGUAUGUGUGUACGUAUGUGUGUACACACACACACAUUCGACCCUUGAACAACACAGGUUUGAAUUGCAUGGGACCACUUAUCCGUGGCUUUUUUUCAAUACAGUAAAACGUUAUAAAUGUAUUUUCCUUAUGUUUUCUCAAUAUCAAUUUCUUUUCUCUAGCUUACUUCGUUGUAAAAAUACAGUGUGUAACACACAUACCCUACAAAUACGUGAUAACUGACCGAUUAUGUUAUCGGGAAGGCUUCCAGGCAACACUAGGCUAUUAGUAGCUCAGUUUUGGGGAAGUCAGAAGUUCUACUCGGAUUUCCAACUGGUGGUCUAUGUGUUAAUUAGCUUGACUGUGGGAAUCCAUCACAGUAUAUAUGUAUGUAUAUCAAAGAAUCAUGUUGUAGAUAGAUUUUAACAUGAUAUGGGGGAACUUGGCCAGGGUGUGCCCUUUCACUGCGCAUUUACAUGGGGAUCCUGGGCUUGUGGCCUGGGAAGAAGCGGUGCUCCAUGAGAGGGAUCCUGCAGGGAAGUGGGCUGGUUAUGGGCAGAAUGUGUCCUGGUCUUGUCCAUGUCUGUAGGUUCUGUAGAGAAUAUCUGGACUACCUAGUAUCAGUAGUCUGGUUUACUCUCCAUUUCUGUUCCUUAGCACGUUUGCUACCGGUUUAUGAAUAUUAUUAUUAACCAUA